rnacentral:lncRNA from 1 species
UUGACCAGGCUUGGGGGUCAGGGAGAGCUUCCUGGAGGAGGAGGCAUCGGAGCUGGGAUAUGAAGGAGUUGGACCAAUCCCAGGGAAAGAAUAUUCCAGACAAAGAGAAUAGCACAUGCAAAAUCCCAGACUUCUGGCCAGGCAUGGUGGCUCACGCCUGUAAUCCCAGCACUUUGGGAGACUAAUGCGGGUAGAUUGCUGGAGACCAGGAAUUCCAGACCAGCCUGGCCAACAUGGCAAAACCCUGUCUCUUCUGAAAAUAAAAAGUAAAAAAAAUAGCCAGGACUAAUGGCACACGCCUGUAAUCCCAGCUAUUCUGGAGGCUGAGGCAGGAGAAUCACUUGAACCCAGAAGGCAGAGGUUACGGUGAGCCAAGAUUGCACCACUGCACUCCAGCCUGGGCAAUAAAGCAAGACUCUGUCUAAAAAAAAAAAAAAAAAAAAAAUCCCAGACUUCAGAAGAGUCUGGAAUAUUUCAAAGCACAGAUCUAACUGGGCCACCCCUACUCUCUGAACAGCCCCAGUGGCCUCCCUCAGGAUGAAAACCACUCUUCAGCUAGGCAUCUGUCCGCUUGGUGAUUCAUUUAUUCAUUCAUUCAACAAACCACAUCCACAGAAUAGAAGACUGAGAGACAUCAAAUAGAAGGAGACGGAUGCCCAUGAGCUGACAUGGGAUCGUUGUGAUGACUCAUCUGGCCAAUAUUUAUCAAACACUGAGAAAAACAGAUGAGGAGCCGGGAGCAGUGGCUCACUCCUGGAAUCCCAGCACUUUGGAAGGUUGAGGUGGGUGGAUCUCUCAAGGCCAGGAAUUCAAAACCAGCCUGGCCAACAUGGUGAAACCUCAUCUCAACUAAAAAUACAAAAAUUAGCGGGGCGUGGUGCUACCUACCCGUAAUCCCAGCUACUCGAGUGGCUGAGACAGGAGAAUCACUUGAACCUAAGAGGCAGAGGUUGCAGUGAACCAAGAUUGCACCACUGCACUCCAGCCUGGGCGACAAAGCAUGAAAAGAAAAAAAGGCAAAGAAAAACAGAUGAGAAAAACACGAGCAAAACAGAUGAAAAUCCCUUCUCUGCUAGCACUGAUAUUCUAGCAGCAGGACACGGUCAAUAAAUACUAAACAUAAUAUGCAUGUAGGCUAAGUGGGUUAUCUGGCUUGUAACUUAUUGUCACAAAGCAGAAAGUGCUGUGGAGGGAAAUAUAUAUGUAUGUAUGCAUGCAUUAGGAAAAGUGAGGAAUUAGAUGAAUGAAGGGUAAAUUGCAAUAAUAAAUCAGGCUGGGAUCAGUGGUUCACAACUAUAAUUCGAACACUUUUGGAGGCCAAGGCAGGAGGAUCACUUGAGCUCUGGAGUUCAAGGUUAUAGUGAGCUGUGAUCGUGCCACUGCUGCACUCCAGCCUAGGGAACACAGUGAGACCUUGUCUCUAAAAAAAUAAAAAUUAGGUGGUCACAAAAGUAUAGAGGGAGGCCAGGCACAGUGGCGCACACACUUGUAAUCCCAGCAACCUGGGAAGCUGAGGCAGGAGGAUCGCUUAAGCUCAAGAGUUCGAGGCUAGGCACAAUGGCUCAUGCCUGUAAUCCCAGCACUUUGGGAGGCCGAGGUGGGUGGAUCAUUUGAGGUCAGGAGUUCAAGACCAGCCUGGCCAACAUGGUGAAACCCCACCUCCACUAAAAACACAAAAAUUAGCUGGGCAUGGUGGUGGGUACCUGUAAUCCCAGCUACUCAGGAGGCUGAGGCAAGAGAAUCACUUGAACCCAGAGGACGGUAUUGCACCACUGCACUCCAGCCUAGACGACAGAGUGAGGCUCCAUCUCAAAAAAAAAAAAAAAAAAAAAAAAAAAAGAGUUUGAGACCAGCCUGGGCAACAUUUCGAAAGCUCAUCUCUAUGAAAGAAUACAAAAAUUAACCGGGCGUGGUGAUGCACGUCUGUGGUCCCAGCUACUCAGGAGGAUGAGGUGGGAGGAUCACUUGAGACUGGGAGGUUGAGGCUGCAGUGAGCAGAGAUUGCACCACUGCACUCCAGCCUGGGUGACAGAGGGACACCCUGUCUCAAAAAAAAAAAAAAAAUAGAAAGGGGAAAAUCAAGGUGCGAGAAAGUGUGUAUAGAAUGGGGAAAAGCAAAUGAACACAGCAUCUGUUUUAUUUUUUAAUUUUUUUAAUCUUUUAUUUUUAUUUUAUUUUAUUUAUUUAUUUAUUUUUGAGACAGAGUCUCACCCUGUCACCCAGGCUGGAGUGCAAUGGCGUGAUCUCAGCUCACUGCAACCUCUGUCUCCCAGGUUCAAGCGAUUCUCCUGCCUCAGCCUCCCAAGUAG